CCAGACUCCUACGGGAGGCAGCAGUGGGGAAUAUUGCACAAUGGGGGAAACCCUGAUGCAGCGACGCCGCGUGAGUGAAGAAGUAUUUCGGUAUGUAAAGCUCUCUCAGCAGGGAGGAUAAUGACGGUACCUGACUAAGAAGCCCCGGCUGACUACGUGCCAGCAGCCGCGGUAAUACGUAGGGGGCAAGCGUUAUCCGGAUUUACUGGGUGUAAAGGGUGCGUAGGUGGCAUGGCAAGUCAGAAGUGAAAGCCCGGGGCUCAACCCCGCGGACUGCUUUUGAAACUGUCAGGCUAGAGUACAGGAGAGGUAAGCGGAAUUCCUAGUGUAGCGGUGAAAUGCGUAGAUAUUAGGAGGAACACCAGUGGCGAAGGCGGCUUACUGGACUGUAACUGGCGUUGAGGCUCGAAAGCGUGGGGAGCAAACAGGAUUAGAUACCCUCGUA
rnacentral:rRNA from 1 species